rnacentral:rRNA from 1 species
CCUACGGGUGGCAGCAGUCGAGAAUCAUUCACAAUGGGGGAAACCCUGAUGGUGCGACGCCGCGUGGGGGAAUGAAGGUCUUCGGAUUGUAAACCCCUGUCAUGUGGGAGCAAAUUAAAAAGAUAGUACCACAAGAGGAAGAGACGGCUAACUCUGUGCCAGCAGCCGCGGUAAUACAGAGGUCUCAAGCGUUGUCCGGAAUCACUGGGCGUAAGGCGUGCGUAGGCUGUUUCGUAAGUCGUGUGUGAAAGGCGCGGGCUCAACCCGCAGAGGGCACAUGAUACUGGGAGACUAGAGUAAUGGAGGGGGAACCGGAAUUCUCGGUGUAGCAGUGAAAUGCGUAGAUAUCGAGAGGAACACUCGUGGCGAAGGCGGGUUCCUGGACAGUAACUGACGCUGAGGCACGAAGGCCAGGGGAGCGAAAGGGAUUAGAUACCCGAGUAGUC